rnacentral:rRNA from 1 species
AGUUCGAUCCUGGCUCAGAUUGAACGCUGGCGGGAUCUUUACACGGCGUACAGUCGAACAGCGGCAGCACGGACUUCGGUCUGGCGAAAGCGAUGGCGAACGGGUGAGUAAUGUAUCGGAACGUGCUGCCUAGUAGCGGGGGAUAACUACGCGAAAGCGUAGCUAAUACCGCAUACGCCCUUCGGAGGAAAGCAGGGGGACCUUCAGACUCACCCUGUCGAAGCGGCCGAUAUCGGAAUUCAGCUGGUUGGUGGGGUAACGGCUCGCAAGGCGACGAUCCGUAGCUGGUUUGAGAGGACGACCAGCCACACUGGGACUGAGACACGGCCCAGACUCCUACGAGGCAGCAGUGGGGAAUUUUGGACAAUGGGGGAAACCCUGAUCCAGCCAUCCACGUGUGCGAUGAAGGCCUUCGGGUUGUAAAGCCACUUUUGGCAGGAAAGAAACGGCUGGGAUAUUACCCGUGCAACUGACAAUACCUGCAGAAUAAGCACCGGCCUUCCAGUACCAGCGUAUGACAAUACGUAGGAGUGCAAGCGUUAAUCGGAAUUACUGGGCGUAAAGCGUGCGCAGGCGGUUCGGAAAGAAAGAUGUGAAAUCGGAAACGCUUUGGAACUGCAUUUUUAACUACCGAGCUAAGGAGUGUGUCAGAGGUGGAAUCCGCGUGUAGCAGUGAAAUGCGUAGAUAUGCGGAGGAACACCGAUGGCGAGCAGCCUCCUAGGAUAACACUGACGCUCAUACACGAAAGCGUGAGCAAACGAAGUUAGAUACCUGGUAGUCCACGCCUAAACGAUAUCAACCAACUAUUUGGGGCCUUCGGGGCGCGGUAACAGCUAACGCGUGAAGUUGACCGCCUGGGGAGUACGGUCGCAAGAUUAAAACUCAAAGGAAUUGACGGGGACCCGCACAAGCGGUGGAUGAUGUGGAUUAAUUCGAUGCAACGCGAAAAACCUUACCUACCCUUGACAUGUCUGGAAUCCCGAAGAGAUUUGGGAGUGCUCGCAAGAGGAACCGGAAUUACAGUGCUGCAUGGCUGUCGUCAGCUCGUGUCGUGAGAUGUUGGGUUAAGUCCACCCAACUUGAGCGCAACCCUUGUCAUUAGUUGCUACGAAAAGGGCACUCUAAUGAGACUGCCGGUGACAAACCGGAGGAAGGUGGGGAUGACGUCAGAGUCCUCGGCCCUUAUGGGUAGGGCUUCACACGUCAUACAGUGGUCGGGACAGAGGUCGCCAACCCACGAGGGGAGCCAAUCCCAGAAACCCGAUCGUAGUCCGGAUCGCAGUCUGCAACUCGACUGCGUGAAGUCCGGAAUCGCUAUUAAUCGCGGAUCAACAUCGCGGUGAAUACGUUCCCGGGUCUUGUACACACCGCCCGUCACACCAUGGGAGUGGGUUUUACCAGAAGUAGUUAGCCUAACCGUAAGGAGGGCGAUUACCACGGUAAGUUCAUGACUGGGGUGAAAUCAUGCUUUCUGAAGUA